rnacentral:tmRNA from 1 species
GGGGCUGACUUGGAUUUCGACAGAUUUCUUGUCGUGCAGAUAGCAUGCCAAGCGCUGCUUGUAAAACAGCAACAAAAAUAACUGUAAACAACACAGAUUACGCUCCAGCUUACGCUAAAGCUGCGUGAGUUAAUCUCCUUUUGGAGCUGGACUGAUUAGAAUUUCUAGCGUUUUAAUCGCUCCAUAACCUUAAGCUAGACGCUUUUAAAAGGUGGUUCGCCUUUUAAACUAAGAAACAAGAACUCUUGAAACUAUCUCAAGGUUUUAGAAAGUUGGACCAGAGCUAGUUUUAAGGCUAAAAAACUAACCAAUUUUUCUAAGCAUUGUAGAAGUUUGUGUUUAGGACAAGAUUUUUGGACUGGGGUUCGAUUCCCCACAGCUCCACCA